rnacentral:rRNA from 1 species
AUUGAACGCUGGCGGCAGGCCUAACACCUGCAAGUCGAACGAGUGGCGGACGGGUGAGUAAUGUCUGGGAAACUGCCUGCUGGAGGGGGAUAACUACUGGAAACGGUAGCUAAUACCGCAUACCAUCAGAUGUGCCCAGAUGGGAUUAGCGAGUAGGUGGAGUACCGGCUCACCAAGGCGACGAUCCCUAGCUGGUCUGAGCGGAGGACCAGACACACUGGAACUGUGACCAGGUCCAGACUCCUACGGGAGGCAGCAGUGGGGAAUAGUGCACAAUGGGCGCAAGCCUGAUGCAGCCAUGCCGCGUGUAUGAAGAAGGCCUUCGGGUUGUAAAGUACUUUCAGCGGGUAGGCGUUACGCGCAGAAGAAGCACCGGCGAACUACGUGCCAGCAGCCGCGGUAAUUA